UACAGAGAACAGCGUCGCUUCGCUGUACGGAGCACAUUUUAGUGAACGGAUUUUCUCCAAAGCUUACGGCGCAACCUUUACACCAAGGAUCGUCGACCACGGAAGACUUUUUUUGAUGUUGAAAGUGUUUUGGAGGAGAUAAUGAGGAGCAGCGACGAAGAGCAGCAGAAAGAAGCAGAGACAUUACAUCAGAGAGAGAAAGCUCGGUGUCGAGCGUCGAUUCCCUAGAAGACGACAUGUUUGUUGAUGGACUUGAUCCCGUGUUAGAUCGGUAUUUCAAUUGACACAUAUGAGGACUGGUGUCCGGAGUCUAGUCCUGAGCACCGGAAGAGAUCACGGCAGCCAUCGUCAUCAUCUGCAUCUCAGCUAAAGAACAAACUAUGAAGGGGAAAUCAGUUUCCUGCAAUAACCCGAUCUGUACGGCGCCGUCACGUUUGUAGCUGCGCUUACAGUUCUGGCACCAUUGUCUCACUAAUAUGAGUUUGCAAGCGAGGGGAGAGGCGGGGCUACCUUCUUGUGACCAAUCGAAUGAGGUUCCUGAUGACUCAUCGUUUUCUCUUGUCUGAUUGGUUCAAUAACGCGCCAGGCAGGCAGAAGUCAGCCGGCUCUGUAUCGUCCUCAAGGCUGCAGGAAUGGAUUUGUUGAUAGAUGCUGUAUUGGAUAGGCUCCACUCAAGGCUGUCCCACCUUCUUAAUCGGCCACCAAUUGAUUUGGACUUUUUGGAGUUUACGUGUUCCCAGGAGUGUUUUUUUUUUAAGUGCACUUUCAAGCCAGGAAUCUUUUCCACGUGCUGUAAUGGAGAGACUCAGAGAGGUUUUUCAGAUUAUUGCUGAGAUCAACCAAAAUCAAGAGUGUACACACACUGUGGUUUUUGAAUCUGGCAAGCUUGGGCGGGUGCGUGCGCGCGUGUGCGUGGAGCAUUUUAAAGUGUCAGAGAAAGACACACUACGGGACAUGCCGCACGGAAGUACAUUUCCGAAUGAAAGCGCCUUUACCGGUCGGUAACUUUACUUCAGACGGAAGCGGGCUGUCUGACAGUAGCCCCGCCGCUCGCAACAUCCUUUGACAUCAUACAGUGGUCGCGUGCACACAGUUCCCUGUACUAAACAACUUGUCAAAGUAUGUUCUGUGCAUCCCGGCUACGAGUGCACCUUCUGAGAGAACAGUCAGCUUUUGUGGGCGGAGUUUGGAGGAGAGACGUGAACUGAAAUGGUUGUCAGUCAGCAUCAGUCAGAAUUGCUUGCAUUGGAUGUUUUUUUUUCUCAAAUCAUUUUGCAAUGUAGCCUAUAAUAAUCCAACAGUUUUAGUUUAUUUGUAUUUUUAUUUUAUAGGCCUAAUGUGGAAUGACAGUUUUUAAUGAAGUGUUUUGUUGUAGGUGUACAGAGUAACUUACAUUACAUUCUUUUAGCAGUCAGUUAUAGGCCUAAUUAAUAUAGGCUAUUCAUGAAGGGAGAGGGCUCAAUUUUUUGUUUGAAUUUACUUUGUUUUGCUCAAUUUUAUAUAAAGUUGUAUUGUAUUUUAUUGAAAAGCUAGACAAAUUAUAAAAAGCACAUUUUGACUAUUCAGUUUGUGCAAUAGUGAAAAAAAUAGCUUAAUAAAUAGAACAAAUGCAAAAAACCAUGUUC